rnacentral:rRNA from 1 species
UAAGACAGAGGGGGCAAGCGUUGCUCGGAAUUACUGGGCGUAAAGGGCGCGUAGGCGGGAUGGCAAGUCGGUCGUGAAAUCCUUCGGCUCAACCGGAGAACGUCGAUCGAUACUGCCGUCCUUGAGGAUUGCAGAGGAGACUGGAAUUCCCGGUGUAGCGGUGAAAUGUGUAGAGAUCGGGAGGAACACCGGUGGCGAAGGCGGGUCUCUGGGCAAUUCCUGACGCUGAGGCGCGAAAGCGUGGGGAGCAAACGGGAUUAGAUACCCCGGUAGUCCACGCUGUAAACGAUGACGACUAGGUGUGGGGGGGUUCAGUCCCUUCCGUGCCGCAGCUAACGCAUUAAGUCGUCCGCCUGGGGAGUACGGCCGCAAGGUUGAAACUUAAAGGAAUUGACGG